CAUGAAAUUUAACUUCUGGCCAUCCGUCACUCAGUGUGACACAAUAUACCAUGCUGCCCCUCCCAAACCAGUGGCUAUGUUCUUGCUCUCACUUUCAUAGUCAAGGGUAGGGACUGUGGCGUGUGAGGUGUAAACUACCGGGGAACUCCCAGUGUGGCUCUGAACCCAGAUGUGGGGAGGGUUGGAAACACACUGGUCACGCCCUGAUCUAAAGCAGGUGUCCGUGAUACGAGAAAGCGGUUACUGUCAGGGCUGCAGGUGCCGAGACUGUAAAUAGAGGGUUUGUGCGAGUGUGUUCUGUUCAGUGUUAUGAACCAACUGUCAACAAGGUGUCAGCCCCACCGGGCACCUUGAAGAUGUCCCCCACCCCUCCACCUUCCACAGCAGGAGAUGAGAGCCAUGCCUGUCUCAUUACCGGUGGGGUGGGAGAUGGCAUCAUCUCCCAGGCCUGCAGAUGAAGCCAGUUGGCGCCAGUGUCUCCUGUAUGGCUGGCUGGGAAAUUAAUCUCCCCGUCACCAUCACCCACAGAGGAGGUUCUGCUUUAAAUUAUGGGAGCAACUCUCGCAUUUUCCCAAUGCAGGGUUAUUUUAUCAAGAAGAUAAAUUUGACUGCAGAGCAACAACAUGACAGCCCCCUUCAAACCUCUGCCUCCCUGUCCCCUUCACCAGCUGCGGCAAGGACAGAGGAAGAAGUCAGCUUUGUCUCAGCCCCUGACUUCUUGUCCAGGCAACUUCUCCAAAGGUGCCCGUGAUCAAAUCAACGCCACCUCCCCAUGUACACAAUACCCGAUCUGUCGCCACCAGUCCCUCAGAGCCGGCAGGAAUGGCAGCUGUUUCCUGAGUACCUCCUGUGUGGCUCCACCAGAUCAUCUCCUUUCAUUCAAUGAUGGGAUUCCCAGGCAAGAGACUCGUAGUGGAAGCCACACCACUGCCAUGCUUCUAUACCUCCAAAACCAGGAACCAAAAUAAAUGUCUUUUAUUUAUAAACUAA